UACGAAGGGUGCUAGCGUUGCUCGGAAUUACUGGGCGUAAAGCGCACGUAGGCGGUCUUUUAAGUCGGGGGUGAAAUCCUGGAGCUCAACUCCAGAACUGCCUUCGAUACUGGAAGACUCGAGUCCGGGAGAGGUGAGUGGAACUGCGAGUGUAGAGGUGAAAUCCGUAGAUAUUCGCAAGAACACCAGUGGCGAAGGCGGCUCACUGGCCCGGUACUGACGCUGAGGUGCGAAAGCGUGGGGAGCAAACAGG
rnacentral:rRNA from 1 species